CGGCACCGUGACGCGGCGGUGCUUGCGGAGCGGCGCCGCCUCGCCCGUCGCUUCCUCCCGAAAGUCGGUAUUCAAGAUACUCCUGUGGGAUAUAUUCAGGACUGAAUUGGUGCCCAGCAACUUCCUUGAGAUCAACAUCUUCAGCUCGCAAUCUGUGAGCAUGGACCACACCAGAUACAGCUGCUAGGAGCUCCAGAUGUAGCAGAGGCUACGUGCCCUCCUCCUGCUGUGCCCAAGACCACCCGCUCCACCCACCGAACCAACGCCACAUCACCCCGCCUGACUUAAAAGACUGUCGUGACAGUGGACCCCACUUAUGGACUAUAUGAACUCACUAUACAUGUUGGAGGGAUGGCCUAGAGCCUAAGGGAAUGAUAUCUGUGUGUAUACCUCAAAAACCAGGAAAUGGGAUGGUGAUUCCUUAGAACGUACUGGGAAACAUGGAACCUGAGCAUAACAUAAAUGGUAUGGAAUCAGGAGUGGAUACUGUCCUGGUUUUGGCUGGGAUAGAAUUAAUUUUCCUUCUUAGCAGCUGGAGUAGUGAUGUGCUUUGGAUUCAGUAAUGGGUGUGGUAGGAGAAGAAUCUUGCUAAUACACUGAUGUUUUCAGUUGUUGCUGAGACCUCAAAGAUUCUCCAGCUCCCCAUGUCCUGCCUGUGUGUGGGUGCACAAGAAGCUGGGAGGGAGCAGAGCAAGAGCACUGGACACAAAUUAGCCAGUGAAAUAAUCCAUAUCAUGUAAUGUCGUGCUCAGUGUAUAGAGGAGGGGUGGUCAGGAAG